rnacentral:ribozyme from 1 species
GCUGCUCAAACCUUCACACACCACUUCGUGGUGAGCAGUAGGCAACGAUCUAUGAUCGGCAGAGAUGUGAAG